CUCAGUCCCCGCAGACAUCCCCACAAACUAAGGACUGGAGUACAACGUCGUGCUGUGUGUGUCUGAAUUACAGGGGAUGAACUGCAGUGCCUCCCAACCUAAGGGCACAGCAGGUUUUCCAAAUACUUAUAUUUAAGAAAUCUUAAGUUGUUAUAUAUUUUUUCCCGUGUUCUAAAAUUGACCAUGAAAACCAUCACUUGCAGUCAGAAAGGUGAAUUUAUGUUGGGCUGCUCCGCCACUUUGUUUUAGAUGAGGAAGACAUUCCUUUAAAAUACCUGAAGAAAACGCAUGUUCCUUAAAGGAGGAGCAGAAGAAAUAAAUCCCCAUAAAACCAUCUGCUGUCCUGCCUACAUAGAGAAACAGUUACCUGAUGAGUUGUAUUACUGAAUUCCAAACUGAAAAGGGAAAACAAAAUGCAAAUUAAAAAAUCCCCACCACAACUGAGUCUUCGCUAACAUAUGAAGAAACAAGAGGCCAGCCAGACAAGACCCCUGCAAAUAAGGGAAGAGUAAAAGCUGUAGUACUUGCAUUACUGAGUACAUGAAGACCUUUUUGCACAGCCGAGUAAGUAUUGUAAUAAAACAUAACAUUAAAAACGAUAUUAAAAAAACACUUGGAACUGAAAAAACGUGAUAAUGAAGCAGAAUAAAGAUCUUACCCGUGGGAACUAAAAA